GAUGAACGCUGGCGGCGUGCCUAAUACAUGCAAGUCGAGCGAACAGAUAAGGAGCUUGCUCCUUUGACGUUAGCGGCGGACGGGUGAGUAACACGUGGGUAACCUACCUAUAAGACUGGGAUAACUUCGGGAAACCGGAGCUAAUACCGGAUAAUAUUUCGAACCGCAUGGUUCGAUAGUGAAAGAUGGUUUUGCUAUCACUUAUAGAUGGACCCGCGCCGUAUUAGCUAGUUGGUAAGGUAACGGCUUACCAAGGCGACGAUACGUAGCCGACCUGAGAGGGUGAUCGGCCACACUGGAACUGAGACAGGGUCCAGACUCCUACGGGAGGCAGCAGGAGGGAAUCUUCCGGAAUGGGCGAAAGCCUGACGGAGCAACGCCGCGUGAGUGAUGAAGGUCUUAGGAUAGAAAAACUCUGUUAUUAGGGAAGAAAAAAUGUGUAAGUAACUAUGAAAGUCUGAAGGGUACAUAAUCAGAAGGCCACGGCUAACUACGUG
rnacentral:rRNA from 1 species